AGGCUAACACAUGCAAGUCGAAGGAGAAGCCAUCUUCGGAUGGUGGAAACUGGCGCACGGGUGAGUAACGCGUGGGUAUCUACCUUGGGGUGGGGAAUAACCGCUGGAAACGGCGGCUAAUACCGCAUACGCCUUUAGAGGGAAAGCUCCGGNGCCCUAAGAGGAGCCCGCGUUGGAUUAGCUUGUUGGUAGGGUAACGGCCUACCAAGGCUACGAUCUAUAGCUGGUCUGAGAGGAUGAUCAGCCACACUGGGACUGAGACACGGCCCAGACUCCUACGGGAGGCAGCAGUGGGGAAUAUUGGACAAUGGGCGCAAGCCUGAUCCAGCCAUGCCGCGUGAGUGAAGAAGGCCUUAGGGUUGUAAAGCUCUUUCACCUGCGAAGAUGAUGACGGUAGCAGGAGAAGAAGCCCCGGCUAACUCCGUGCCAGCAGCCGCGGUAAUACGGAGGGGGCUAGCGUUGUUCGGAAUUACUGGGCGUAAAGGGCGCGUAGGCGGUAUGCCAUGUCAGGGGUGAAAGGCCUGGGCUCAACCUAGGAACUGCCUUUGAAACUGGCAAACUAGAGUCCG
rnacentral:rRNA from 2 species